ensembl:lncRNA
GUCUGACUCAGUGACCCGAUGGACUGCAGCACGCCAGGCUCCUCUGUCCAUGGGACUCUCCAGGCAAGAAUGCUGGAGUGGGUUGCUGUGCCCUCUUCUGGGGGUUUCUUCCUGACCCAGAGAUUAAAGCUGCAUCUCUUAUUCUUUACCACUAGCACCACCUGGGAAGCCUCUCCAUCACAACACACAUCACACUGGAUCGUUGUCAUUUAUGAGGUCAUCUUGUCUUUCUCCACUGCUAGACUGUGUACCCAGGAAGGCGAGGAUGGUCUUUAAUCCACAGUAAUAGCUGGUGUAGUUGAGGACCCAGCACACUUUCUAGCCAUACUAGGCUCUCACUAAACCUUUGUUGAAUAACAAACUCUGGUGUGAGUCCUAGACUAUUCUUAGGCCCCAAGACGAUAGUUGUAGAUCUUUCCUUUUGCAGUGCAUUCUACCUGUUGAAUUGGGUGACUUCUCCCCACCCUGACACGUAAUGCCAGCUCUUAAAGCAAUGACUUCUGAACUUGAAUGACCAGUAGAACUGGGUGGAUGACUUUAUAAAAACACAGAUUUGCAAGCCCAGCCCAGGUCUAUCAAGUAAGGAUCUUUCUAAGGAGUUAACCUCAGGCCUGGGAUGGUGGAUUAUUCAGCAGGGGCUUUGCCGUGUAAACUCUCUAGAGAAAGUUGUCAACAGCCUGUUCUUCUUCAGUGGUGAGACUUGGAUGAAUUCAGGAUGUUCUGUUGAUUCCCAAGAGUGAGUGAGUGUGUUUCCAUCACUGAGGAGACAGCUCACAGCAAUGACUUCUAUUGAAGGGAGGAAAGAAGGGUUAGCAUCGACAAUAUCCCCGUUAAUUGAAGAAGAGUGAGCUUGAGAAGUGAGGAAAACCGGAGUCUGGGCUUUAGUCCAUCUUCCCAAGCUUCCAUCUGGCCCUUCUCUUCAUUUCUGACUUGUGAGGCAGUCUGGAUUGACUUAGACUAAUCAUUUCUCCGGGACUCACUGUAUCCAGUACCCUGAAAAGGAAAGUCGCCGUGAUGAAUUCAGAUUUUGAGUCUUUGAAUCUUAGCUCCCUGACCAGGGAUCAAACCAGCAUCUCCUGCAUUAGAAGGUGAAGUUUUAACCUGUGGACCUCCAGAGAAAUCACCACAGGUCUUUUUCCUUUUCAUUGAAAACAUAUGACAGUCUUCUCACUAUUAGUGACCUGAAGCUUUCUGGCCCAUCAGAAUAAAUCACCUGAGGAGGAAUGUGGGACUCUCUAACGGUCUCAGACAUACCUUUAGGAGACAUGCUAGUAGCUAUGAAGCCUCCUUCAGAACCCUCCAGAGAACCUGCCUCCUCUACGUAGAGCUGCCUUCCUCACUGAGCAAGACUCAGAAGCACAGACCUCACUCCCUCGUCUCAGUUCUGUGGAUUUUUCAUCGCUGUUUUCCUAUUGUUGCUCAGUGAAAGGAGAAGAGAUUUCAUCAGACCAGCUCAGGGGCUUUCAACAUUUUCAUUAACCCAUAAUAAGGAAGAAAUGAAAAACUUCCAUAACACUGUCCAUACAUAUAUAUGCAUAAUUAAAACAAAAAUGCCAUGAAACAAUAAUUAUCCAAUGUGUAAUCCAUUUUAAUAAUUUCUGUUCUAAAAACAGUUGUUGGUCACAACCCAAAUCUUGAUUUUAUAGCAUAUUAUUAGGUAAUCCAAAAUUUGAAUAACACUAGUCUCCUUUUACUGGGAAAGUAAAUCCAGUGGAGAAUAUAAAUCACAAGGUGCCUUUCUAAAGCAGAUAGAAUUAAUUUGGUAGCCAUCCACCUGCUUACCAGAAAUUGCUGUGCUUCUGGGCAAGGGUAUCCUGCAUUGCCUUUGUGUUACUGCCAAGCUUGGGCCAUAGUUAGACUUCAUGAUGUGCCUUCUGUGUGUUGAUUUCACAUCUGACCUCAUUUGAUUUUUCUUCUUUUUGUCUUGGAGUUCUGAAGUUGCUUUUAAAAGAUCCUAUUGUAUCAUUGUAUUUGGGGAGGUGCCUUUGCAGUGUUUGGAUACUGAUGCAAAUAAAUAAAUGACAUUGAUAUUGCUCUUUCUGCUUUCAUUGCAGACAAGUGAGCAUUGAAAUCCUCUGAAUCCGGUAUUGUGCUUUGAAUUGCUUUGUCUGAAUUAUGUGGAACGCUCCUUGCUUUUUAUGUGUUUGUGCCAUCAUUGCACUAUGACGAGUUCAGGCUCAUGCACUUGAACUUCUUUAGUUACAGUGUGAACAGAAACUCAAGAAAUGCAUGAGAGCUUGGAAAUCUGCAUCUGUCUCCCUAGUUAAUGCUGUAGAGACAUAGCUCCGUAUUUCAACAUUUUCCUAUUGAACACUGUGUUCCAAUUACCUUCCAUUGUAAUUCAUAGGUUGUUAUGGUGGAUACUUUGACAAGAACAAAAGUCUCUAGUGAAAAUCUGAUGCAUUUAUACAUUUUUUAAAAGCCCUAGGCAUGCUAAUUACAUCAACAAUGACAUGUCAAGUGUAUCCCAACAAAGAGAAUUUGGUGUUGGGAACAUGGAUGAUGCUGUGACUAUCCAAUGGAAGGGUAGAUAUUUGCUUAUAUGCAAUUACCUAUGGUAAUUGUAUUCCCG